GGAAUCUUGCAGUGAAGAUCAUUCCCGGGCAGUGGUCAGAAAAAAAGAGCUUUGACUUGAAGGGUUUUCCAAGCCAAGACUAUGGAGUUGACUGUGGGAUCUUCAUGCUGAUGUCUGCUCUGUACGUGGCACUGGAUGCUUCAUUUGACUAUACUAUA